UCAGUGUUAAGUUCUCUCAUUGACCGCGUGUUAAUUUGUCUCUGUGAUCGCGUGUUAAGUUCUAAUUAAGUUGUAACCUUAUUUCUCUCUAUAAUCGCGUAUAAGUUCAUUAUGUUCUCUUAUUGUUCAGUUCUCUCAGUGGUGGCGUAUAAGUUUUCUUUAUUCUCUCAGUGUUAAGUUCUCUCAGUGAUCGCGUAUAAGUUCUCUAAGUUCUCUCAGUGUUUAGUUCUCUCAAUGAUCGCGUCUUAAGUUCUCUCAGUUAUCGCGUAUGAGUAAGCUAAGUUCUCUCAGUGUUAAGUUCUGUCAUUGACCGCGUGUUAAUUUGUCUCUGUGAUCGCGUGUUAAGUUCUAACUAUGUUGUAACCUAAUUUCUCUCAAUAAUCGCGUAUAAGUUCAUUAUGUUCUCUCAUUGUUCAGUUCUCUCAGUGGUCGUGUAUAAGGUUUCUUUGUUCUCUCAGUGUUAAGUUCUCUCAGUGAUCGCGUAUAAGUUCUCUAAGUUCUCUCAGUGUUUAAUUCUCUCAAUGAUCGCGUCUUAAGUUCUCUCAGUUAUUCCGUAUAAGUAAGUUAAGUUCUCUCAGUGUUAGGUUUUUCAUUGACCGCGUGUUAAUUUUUCUUUGUGAUCGCGUGUUAAGUUCUAACUAAGUUGUAACCUCAUUUCUCUCAAUAAUCGUGUAUAAGUUCAUUAUGUUCUCUUAUUGUUCAGUUCUCUCAGUGGUUGCGUAUAAGUUUUCUUUGUUCUCUCAGUGUUAAGUUCUCUCAGUGAUCGCGUAUAAGUUCUCUAAGUUCUCUCAGUGUUUAAAUCUCUCAAUAAUCGCGUCUUAAGUUCUCUCAGUUAUCGCGUAUAAGUUUUCUUUGUUCUCUCAGUGUUAAGUUCUCUCAGUUAUCGCGUAUAAGUUCUCAAAGUUCUCUCAGUGUUAAGUUCUGUCAAUGAUCGCGUAGUAAGUUCUCUCAGUUAUCGCGUAUAAGUAAGCUAAGUUCUCUCAGUGUUAAGUUCUCUUAUUGACCGCGUGUUAAUUUGUCUCUGUGAUUGCGUGUUAAAUUCUAACUAAGUUGUAACAUAAUUUCUCUCAAUAAUCGCGUAUAAGUUCAUUAUGUUCUCUCAUUGUUCAGUUCUCUCAGUGGUCGCGUAUAAGUUUUCUUUGUUCUCUCAGUGUUUAGUUCUCUCAGUGAUCGCGUAUAAGUUCUCUAAGUUCUCUCAGUGUUUAAUUCUCUCAAUGAUCAUGUCUUAAGUUCUCUCAGUUAUCGCGUAUAAGUAAGCUAAGUUCUCUCAGUGUUAAGUUCUCUCAUUGACCGCGUGUUAAUUUGUCUCUGUGAUCGCGUGUUAAAUUCUAACUAAGUUGUAACCUAAUUUCUCUCAAUAAUUGCGUAUAAGUUCAUUAUGUUCUCUCAUUGUUCAGUUCUCUCAGUGGUUGCGUAUAAGUUUUCUUUGUUUCUCAGUGUUAAGUUCUCUCAGUGAUCGCGUAUAAGUUCUCUAAGUUCUCUCAGUGUUUAAUUCUCUCAAUGAUCGUGUCUUAAGUUCUCUCAGUUAUUGCGUAUAAGUUUUCUUUGUUCUCUCAGUGUUAAGUUCUCUCAGUUAUCGCGUAUAAGUUCUCAAAGUUCUCUCAGUGUUAAGUUCUGUCAAUGAUCGCGUCUUAAGUUCUCUCAGUUAUCGCGUAUAAGUAAGCUAAGUUCUCUCAUUGUUAAGUUCUCUCAUUGACCGCGUGUUAAUUUGUCUCUGUGAUUGCGUGUUAAAUUCUAACUAAGUUGUAACCUAAUUUCUCUCAAUAAUCACGUGUAAGUUCAUUAUGUUCUCUUAUUGUUCAAUUCUCUCAGUGGUCGCGUAUAAGUUUUCUUUAUUCUCUCAGUGUUAAGUUCUCUCAGUGAUCGCGUAUAAGUUCUCUAAGUUCUCUCAGUGUUUAGUUCUCUCAAUGAUCGCGUCUUAAGUUCUCUCAGUAAUCGCGUAUAAGUAAGCUAAGUUCUCUCAGUGUUAAGUUCUCUUAUUGACCGCGUGUUAAUUUGUCUCUGUGAUCGCGUGUUAAAUUCUAACUAAGUUGUAACCUAAUUUCUCUCAAUAAUCGCGUAUAAGUUCAUUAUGUUCUCUCAUUGUUCAGUUCUCUCAGUGGUCGCGUAUAAG